rnacentral:misc_RNA from 1 species
AACUUUUGACAACGGAUCUCUUGGCUCUCGCAUCGAUGAAGAACGCAGCGAAAUGCGAUAAGUAAUGUGAAUUGCAGAAUUCAGUGAAUCAUGGAAUCUUUGAACGCAUCUCGCGCUCCUUGGCUAUUCGGAGGGGCAUGCCUGUUUGAUGAGCGUGAACUCCUCAACUCUCAUGGCUUGUUGUGAGGAGCUUGGACUCUGCGGGUUUUGCUGUCCUGUGGUCAGCUCCCAUCAAAUGAAUCAGCCUCCCAGUGUUUGGUGGCAUCACGGGUGUGAUAAAUAUCUAUGCUCGCGGUUGUCUGCCAGGUAACCUUUGGUGACAAAGGUUUGCUGGAGCUCACAGAUGUCUCUCCUCAGCGAGGAGAGCUUUUUGAACGUUCGAUCUCAAAUCAGGUAGGACUACCCGCUGAACUUAAGCAUAUCAAUAAGCGGAGGCU